CCUACACAGGGCUUGAUCCCACGACCUUGAGAUCAGGACUUCAGCCUAUACCAAGAGUCAGAUGCUUAACCUAGUGAGUCACCCAGGUGCCCAGCACUGAAUAUGAUUAAAUGUGAUAGAGUGGAGAUUUGCAAACAAUAAAGGAUGAAGUAUAAGGUCACAUCUAGAGCUGGGGACACCACGGAGCAUUUUCAGGGACUUAGAAAUCAGGGAAACCUGCUCCUGGCCUAGGAAGGUAAGUUUAAGCUUUCCGGGGAU
rnacentral:lncRNA from 12 species